CAAACCAAAGCUGGCGACCGGCGCACGGGUGAGUAACACGUAUCCAACCUGCCUCAUACUCGGGGAUAGCCUUUCGAAAGAAAGAUUAAUAUCCGAUAGCAUAUAUUUCCCGCAUGGGUUUUAUAUUAAAGAAAUUCGGUAUGAGAUGGGGAUGCGUUCCAUUAGUUUGUGGGGGGUAACGGCCCACCAAGACUACGAUGGAUAGGGGUUCUGAGAGGAAGGUCCCCCACAUUGGAACUGAGACACGGUCCAA
rnacentral:rRNA from 1 species